GUUUCCUAAAUAUACAACUAUGUCAUCUGCAACCAGGGACAAUUUGACUUUCUUCUUUCCAAUUUGAAUACCUUUUAUUUCUUUCUCU